AAUGAUGAGCCUGAAUAAAGGAAUAUCGUGAUAGGAUAUAAUAUGUAGGGCAUAAACCUACCCUCAUUA
rnacentral:tRNA from 8 species